ensembl:lncRNA
CAUUUCUCCCGUCUCACGCUCAUGUGAGGCACCAAUAACAUGGGCUAAAUUACCAGCACUUAUUUGCUGCAUCCCCUGCAAGAGCCUGAACUCCCCUGUUUACGGCCAUGCCCUAACAUCCCAUUCUCCCCCAGCCAUGAUCUCAAAUCCGGCACUUUGAAAACCCUCAUCCUGCUUUUCUCACAAGAUUGUGAGGAUUCACCUGUGGAUUAAAUGGGGACAACAAAAAAGAACAUCUUUUCCUGAGUGGGAUUUAACAUCAACUGGGUGAAACGGUCCAAAUAAGAUUGGGAUACACAAGCGAAAUCAAAGGACACUCGGCUGAAGUACCACCAUGGCUCAGGCAACUAAAGGUCCCGUGGUGAAGUCCAUCCCUCCCACUGGUGUAGCUGCCCCGGCUAGAACAGCACACACAGACUCACUUACUGCCGGGAGCCAUGGAAUUUUACGAAUCAUGAAUCGCCCGGCACAGUGGGUGGUCAUCAUCACACUUCUGAUUUCUUGGUCAAUAGCAGGUGUUGUCAUGUUUGAUUUUGUCAGUGACGAUCAGAUUGCAAGCAUCCAGGAUUUUGGCUCUGAUCCAGUGCUAGCAGUGAGCAAGGCCAUCGAAGGCAUUGAAAACUGGAUAAACCAUAUGAACGAUAUGCUUUAUGAUGCUCACGAGUACAUCACUGAAAUAAUAUUUAAUCCGAGGGAAGCUAUUAGUUUAGCAGCUGACUCAUCUGUGUCUUAUCUGUCAGGAAUAUUUAGUGCUGAUGGAGAUUCAGGAGUCACUGAAACAGUGAAAUAUGGUGGCACUGUAUUGGAUGAGGCUACAGAAUGGAUCAGAACCCCAGUGAGCUACUUAUUCCACUUGUUUGAAGACAUAUUGGAUAUAGUGAUUACUCCAGUGGAUAUGGUCACUGAAGUUGCUGUGCAAAUUUUAAGUGGGAUCAAGACCAUUAUACAAUAUAUUUCAACCAUGUUUGGGGGCAUUGAAGGGGAUACAGGCAUCACUGAAACAGUGAAACUUGGUGGUACUUUAUUGGAUGAGGUUACUGAAUGGAUCAGAUUCCCAGUGGGCUACUUAUUCCACUUAUUUGAAGGCAUCUUGGAUGUAGCAAUCAUUUAUCCAGGGGACAUUGCCACUGAAGCAGUUCUGCAAAUUUUAAGUGGGAUCAAGACCAUUUCUUCAACCAUAUUUGGAUACCUUGAAGUUUGGUUUCCCAAAAUGAGCACUGGUCCCGCAGAACUGGCUGAAAUUGUUGUAGAGAAGGCCACAGACAUAAAGACCACUGUCUCUAAUUACCUAACCAGUCUGUUUGCAGUGGAUGAAGGUGGUAUUCCUGACAUUAGCUUUGAUCCCAUGAAAGUUGUCACAGACACUGUUGAGGAGUUUGCUGACAGGAGGGAUAUGUUCUUGGCCUAUCUCUCCAACAUGGAAGACAAAGAUGACACACCGCAAGUGAUAAGACGGAAAGGAGAAUUUCUGCCCCCUAUGGAAAAAGUUGCAGAAAUAGUAGGCAAAACACAGGACCCUGCUUAUGCUGCCUACAUUGCUGUGAGAUCCACAGUGAAGGAGACAGACAACACUAAAGUAAUAAAAGAGGUUGAGGAGGAACAUGGUGAGCUGGAAUCUGCUGAAGAUGCAACUGAAAAAGCUCAAGAUAUACAAGUAGAUGUUACAAAGGAGGAAGGAAGAGUUGAACCAGCUGAGGACAGCUCUGAUGUCACAGUUUACGAUGAUGAGGUUGUCUCAGAUGUCAUGGAGGAGGAUAAAACUCCUGGAACAGUUGAAGAUAUUUUGGAUGUUACAGAGGAGGAACCUUCUGUUAUGCCAGAAGUCAUAGAUGAGGAAUUAGCUACUGAAAAGGUUGAAGAUAUCUCUGAUUUCAUAGAGGACAAGUCAGCUAUGAUGGCCUCUGAUGCGACAGAAGACACUGAUGAUGCCUCUGCAGUUACAGAGGAGAAAGAAACAACUGAAACAAUUGAAGAAGCAGCAAUUGAAACAGCAGAAGAUACUUCCAAUAUUACAACCAAAACUGAAUUGAAUACAGAUGAAAAUGAAUUUCAGAAAAUUCCCAAUAUUACAGAGGAGGAUGCAGAACUUGAAACAGUUAAAGAUACUUCUGAUCUCAUAGGUGAGAUAGAAGAACCUGAGACAGAUGAAUAUGCCUUUGCUGUCACGGAAGAAACAGCUGAAGAGUCACUAGAAGAAGAACAGCCACCAGAAUUGACUGAAGCUACUCAAGAUACCAUCUGUGUGAAGGAAAAGAUUGCAGCAAAAGAACUCAAUGAUCAUGAAGUCCCAGGUAAGGAUGAAUUAAAAGAGGAAGAUAAGCAGAGAAAGGAAGAUGUGGCAAUUGCUGAUGCUGAAAACAGCACAAAAAACCUGGAGAAUGAGGUAGAUGAAGAUGAGGUUGAGGUGGAGACUAAAGAUCAAACUAUCUUGGGAACAUCUGCUGGUGAAGAUGACCUUGACAAUGAAGAGGAGCUUGUCCUUUCUCCUGUCCAGCAUGACCUCACAGACAGAAAUGAUGAAAAUAACAAUAACAAUGACAGGAUGAGAGAUGCCAUAAAAACAGGCCUGAGCAGGAGAAAAACAUCAAAGAGCCAUUCCAUUGGCACAAACCACCAAGAAGCACACGAGGAUCUUCAUGAAGAGUCUCACAAAGUUCUUGAACAAGUGAAAGAAGCCAAAGAGAAAAAAGCUAGAGAGGAGAUAUACAAAAUCAUUCAAGAUAUGAGGGAAAAGAAGGCUGAAAGUAAAGAGGAAGAGAUAACACUGCAACGAAUAAACAUAACAGUAGAAAAAGUCAAGAAGAAAAAGGAGAUAGAAAAGGCUAAAAGAAAAGAAAAAUCCAAAGAGGACAAGACUCGAGAACCAACAGAAAAGGACACCAAGAAAAAAACUGAGAAAAAGGUCAAGGUGACUAAAGUGGGCGAGGAACCCCCUCUAAAAAAGAAGAAAUCUGAAGCUAAAAUGGCCAAAAAAGAGACCAAACUAGCAACAUCUAAGAAAGAGCCUCGAGUUACAAAAGAAAAGGCUAAACCAGCUCGUUCAAAGAAAGAAGCUGAAGUUGCUGUUAAAAAACUAAAACACGCUCCUGCAAAGAAAGAGCCUGAGGUUUCCAAAGAGAAGGCCAAGCUGAAGCCCUCAAAGAAAGAAGCUAAAGCUCCCAAGGACAAAAUUAAACCGGCCCUUUUGAAGAAAGAGCCUGAUGUUUCUAAGGAGAAAGAAAAACCACCAACUGCAAAGAAAGAAGAAAAGCCAACAACCGCUAAAAAAGAGCCUGCAGUUGCAGAAGAGAAAGUCAAACCAGUGCCCUCAAAGAAAGAUACUAAAGCUAUUAAGGAGAAAGUGAAACCAGCCCCAGUUAAGAAAGAGCCUGAGGUUUCCAAAGAAAAAGCCAAGCCAAAACGUUUAAAGAAAGAGGCUAAAUCUGUUGAAGAGAAGGCAAAACCAGCACCAGCUAAAAAAGAGAAGGAGAAACCUCCAAAGAAAGCUGUAAAAGAAAAGCCCAAACCUGCUUCUGUAAAGAAAGAACCUAAAUUUCCAAGAGAGAAAGCAAAACCUAAACCUUCCAAAAAAGAGGCAGAAGUUGCCAAAGACAAGCAUAAACCUGUCACUGUGAAGAAAGAACCUGCUGUUGCAGUUGAAAAGGCAAAACCGAAACCUGCACCAAAGAAAGUUACCAAAGAGAAAGCUAAACCAGAACCUGCAAAGAAAGAACCUGAGAUAACCAAAGAAAAACCGAGAGCACCAAAGAGAAAGGCUCAAGUUAUUAAGGAGGAAGCUAAACCAGCUCCUGCAAAAAAAGUCUUCAAAGAUGUUAAACCAGCCCUUAAGAGAAGAGAGGCUAAAGUAAUGAAGAAGAAAGUUAAACCGACUCCUGUAAAGAAAGAGCCUGAAGUUGCUAAAGAAAAGGCACCUGAAUCAGCACCAAGAAUAGUGGCUAAAGUCAUCAAGGAGAAACCUAAACCAGUUCCUGAGAAGAAAGAAGCUGUAAUCAUCAAAAAGAAAGUUAAACUGGCUCCAGUAAAGAAAGCACCUGAGAUAAUCAAAGAAAAGCCAAAGCCAGCACCAAAGAAAGAGGCUGAAGUCAUCAAAGAGAAAGCUAAACCAACUCCUGAAAAGAAAGUCAUCAAGGAGAAACCUAAACCAGUUCCUGAGAAGAAAGAAGCUGUAAUCAUCAAAAAGAAAGUUAAACUGGCUCCAGUAAAGAAAGCACCUGAGAUAGUCAAAGAAAAGCCAAAGCCAGCACCAAAGAAAGAGGCUGAAGUCAUCAAAGAGAAAGCUAAAGCAACUCCUGAAAAGAAAGAGACCGAAGUCAUCAAGGAGAAAGUUAAACCAGCCCCUGUAAAGAAAGUUAAAGUUCCAAAGGAAAAGACAAAACUUGUCCUUGAAGCAAAGGAACCCAAAAUAACUAAGGAAAAGCCAAAGCCAGCACCAAAGAAAGAAGCUUUAGUCAUCAAAGAGAAAGCUAAACCAGCCCCUGUGAAGAAAGAGUCUGAAAUUAUCAAGGAAGAAAGAAAGAAAGCUAAACCAGCUCCUAAGAAGAAAGUGGCUGAAGUCACCAAGGAGAAAGCUAAGCAAGCUCCGAUGAAGAAAGAGCCUGAAGUCACUAAAGAAAAGUUAUUAGAACCAACUCCAAAAAAAGAGCUCCUGAACUCUAUCAGCCAAAAACUGUCUCUUCUGGAUUUACUGAGGAAGGACAUUGGUGAAAUGAAGAGUGAUCUGGAGUCCACUCAAAAUCAAAUUACGCUUUUACGAAUGGACAACAGAACAAUCAAAGAGCCAAAGACUGUUGGUGUAAAGGUAAAACCAGCAGUCUCCAAGGAAAAGGUCAAAACAGCAAAAAAAGACCAUGAUGCUCUGAUGAACGUUACAGCACAUAUUAAAGCAGAAGCUGAAAUCAUCAAAAAGAUAAAAGAUAAAGUUAAACUGGCUCCUUUAAAGAAAGAACGUGAUGCACUGAAAAACAUCACUAAACCAGCACCUGCAAAGAAAGAUAAAGAGGCUCCAAAAGCUAAGAUCAGACCACAGCCCAAAAAGAAAGAAAUCACCCAUGAGAAGGUCAAACAAGUAAAGGAACCUUUACAGAAAGUCGAGCCAACUAAGAAGGAGGCUGUUGUGGGCAAGGAAGUAAAAGGAGAAGAACCUGAUGUCUCCAAAGAUAUUCCAGAGAUGGAGGAUGAGGAUGUUCCCUACUUCCAGUGUUUCUUUGUGGAUGAGGAUGAUACUCAGUAUCCAUUCUUCCCCUUUUCACCACCGCUGUGGUGAAACUAGCCAAACCUCGUAUUCUGAUGUUAAACAACAUGGCAAAGCCAGUGAAGACGGACCUCUGAACGCUCUGAUGCAGUGGAGAGCUUCACAGUAGGUCCUACAGCAUUACACCAGCAAUGACCAAGAAAUGUGAAAGAGAUUUAAGUUACUUCCUGGAUCUUAAAACUCGAAAACUUCCUUCUCAGAUUCUUUGUCAUUUUGAAGAACAGAGUUUGCAAAUAUUGCGCUAUUUAUUAUAUCAUCUUAAGGCUAUCCAUCUUUUUAUUAAUACCAUGGAUUUGCCUUUUGUUUCUGAAUGAUUACUAUCUAUUUAUGAUUAAUAUAUAUGUCCAAGAAGGACAGGAAGAAAUGAAAGAACUAACUUCCUUUCUGAACAUGCAGUGGGGUUCAGGAUUGUAAGAUUAUAUAGUCUUUUAUAUAAACAUGAGGCGUGACCUCGUUUUGAUGGGGUGCUAAUUCUAAGCAUUCCACUGUGUUUUCUGUCAGAAUGGGGUUUGGAAGUUGUUCACGGUUCGUACAACUGGAAGGAAGGAUAUAAUAAAACAAGAAAUAUGUAAACUAUUUCAUAUAUCCUUUCUUAGUGAUACCGUUUACUAAACUGUUUACAGAAGUAACAGCUGCACUGAGAAAUACGGGCUUUGGACCGUAAGCUCAGUUCCUCAGAAUGUAUACAUCAUUUUAUUUAUAUAUUAUUUUUAUUUUGUUUUAUUCCUCUCUCUUUUUUAGCUUUCCAUACAUUUUACUUAAUAUAACUUGCCAAAUGUUUUAUAAAUCUAUACUUCAGAGGAAACAAAUAUGUUUUGUUCAGUGCUCUUUAUAAAUGAUUUUGCAUAACAAAAUUAAGAUAAGCUGUUGUGCUAAAUCCAAGAAAAAGCAUCAAACAUCAAGGCAACUACGUUGUUCUAGUAUAUCACAUUGCAAACACUACUGUUUUUACUUUUAUCUGCAUAACAUUAAUAGUUUAUUUAAGAUAAUGUCUGUAAAAAUGUGGGUGUGUUUUUGCAAUAUUACAUGGAUAGACCUACCUAAUAGAGAAGAGACAAUUAAAUAGCAUUCUGAAUUGUGUAACAAAAAUUGUCUGUUCCACAUUAUACUCAUACAGAAGAUUUUUUUUUAUUAUUAUGGGAUAAUGUGUCAAAUUAAAUUUAUUGCAUGCAACCACCGUGUGUUUCAACACUGCCCCUGGUGGCUCCCUGGCUCAUUACUCCAUUGCUUGAUUUAAUGAUAUUGAGUGUUUAAUGGUAUGUACUAGUGAGACACACCAUUAAACUAGUGUGCCGGUGGGCUGCCCUGGAGACAUUUCUUUUACUGCCACUGUCUUUUCUGUAUGAGUUCAGCAUGUGGCUCCAUUGAACAUAAACUCAUGUCUGUACAAAGAGCUUUUUUACCUCUGAUGUUAAGUAACUUAGGGUGAUCGUACGUUCUGUUUUUCCCAGACAUGUCCUGGCCAGGAUUUCUAAAUUGCCUAAAAUGUCAUUUUUUUGACUUUCUGAAGGUAAUGACUGUAAAGUAGUUUCACCAGCAUGCAGGCAUUGUGCUUAAUCGACCAGUUGUGGCCUGCGAGAAGGUGGGAUCUACAGAGAAGAGUCAAAGCAGUGCAAAUACAUGUACACAUAAUGUCUGAGGACUCUAGAGAGGAAACGCCAAAACCUGGACAUUUUAGGCAAUGUAGAAAUCCCGAUCAGGAUAUGUCUGGCAAUAAGAGGAUGUAUAGUCAACUGUACAAAUACAUAUUGUAGCAAUGCUCACUUGUAACAGAUAUACAGGUCUUUUUUGGACUUUUUUGGACUUUUCAAGUAAAUUAUGAGCUUGUUGGUGUGUUCUCAAGCAAACUGUGAAGCAAUGAAUAACAGCAUUUUUCAAUAGUUCAUAUAGUUCUUUAAGAUAUGUGUACUGUUAUUUUAAACCUAAUUUACAGUUCAUAUUUGAAAAAUGUUCCUCAAAGAUAAUAGUUUGCAUGAUGUUUGCAUGAAUUUUGUUUAAAAAUGUAUCUAAACCAGACCAUAUUUAAUUUGUGUGUGUUUUUAAUUGGAAUUACAUAAUUUCAUUGAAAAUGUAUAAUGUAAUAUUAUAUUCAUUUGGGUUUGUUUGUUUUUUUGCAUGGUUUUGAAGUUAGAUGUUGAAAACAUUCUCUGUACAAUGUAUAGC